rnacentral:ribozyme from 13 species
AGAAAAAACCAAUGGAUAAAAACCCAAUGGAUAAAAAUACACCACUCAAACCCCCUCCACCCCCUUUUCUCUCUUCUUCAUCUCUUUUUCUUUCUCUUUCUCUCUCUCCU